UUUGUUAAAAUUAAGCCUCUUGCUAUAUGUUUAACGUAUGUUUAAACAACUUGUAGAGUUUCAAGUAGCUACUGGUGGAGCAGCUGCUCCUACACAGGCUGGGCCUGUUUAAUUCUCGCCUAGCUGUGAAUUUUUGAAUAUUUUGGAGUCACUUUGUGAUUCAAUAAGACAAGCCUUUCUUUUUUGGAGUCAUUUUUUGAAACUAAGGAAGGAACCGUUUCAGUAGCUACUGCGUUUGCUGGUCAUCAGGAAGAUUGUUGUUAUUUCAUAUUGCUGUUGUUAUGAGAAUCAUGACUCAGAAACUUUUUGGGCAGACUUUUUGGGCAGCCACUGCUGCUAGUUUCAUAACAAUUCAGUGUUCGAAAUGUUACAUUUUUUUGACUUGGGGAUUAACAAAUCUAUAUUCAUUAAGCCCAAGACAUUUCACCUUACAGUACUAAUGCUUAAGCUGUGGAAUAAAGACAGAGUGGGGUAUACUAUACUAUAUGUUAGGUUUGAUUAUGAUUAUGAUAAUUGAUUGGUUAAGCAUCAUUAAUCUGUACCCUUAAUCAUCAAUAAUACAAUUCAAUUUUUUUUCCUGUUUUGGAUUUGAAUGAACUCUUACUCAACCAUUUUUCUAUAUACUUUUUUAUGCAUAAUGUUGAUGAGAUUCAAAUUUUUUUGUUUUGCUGGCAUAUCAAGAGGAGACUGAAUAGCUCAAGCUUCUUGCUGAAUGGAAGAGAAAGAAAGGUGGAUUCAGAGCUACCAUGUUUGUUUUUGGAAACUUGGUGGCGGCUCAAGUUGCGACAGAAAUCGGUUGGAGCGAGUUUGCGAUUUCAAUGUUUUCACUAGGAAUGGUACAUUAUUUGCAGGCCAGGACUGUUCAAGAAAACUAUAAAAAGGUUAAACAUUACAUGGUGGAUCUACUCAUUCCCUUUAACAUUCCUUGGUCUAGCUUGUGCUGAAUAUGCUCAUGAAGUGAAAACAAGCAUGGCCUCUGGUUUAAUGCUGCUGAUAUGUAUUGUGUCUGUUUUGGUUUUUGUUUUUCUCAUGCUAACUAAUGUUGAAUAUGAUAAUGCUGAAGUUCUAUCU